GAUGAACGCUGGCGGCGUGCCUAAUACAUGCAAGUCGAGCGAACGGACGCGAAGCUUGCUUCUCUGAUGUUAGCGGAAGACGGGUGUGUAACACGUGGAUACCCUACCUAUCAGACUGGGAUCACUACGAGACACCGGAGCUUAUACCGGAUAAUAUUUUGCACCGCAUGGUUCAUAAGUGAAAGACGGUCUUGCUGUAUCUUCUCGCUGGAUACGCGCUGCAUUAGCUAGUUGGUACGGUCAAGGCUUACCACGGCAACGAUGCAUAGCCGACCUGAGAGGGGGGUCGGCCACCCGGGAACGGAGACACGGUCCAGACGCCUACGGGAGGCAGCAGUAGGGAAUCGGCCGCAAUGGGCGAAAGCCUGACGGAGUAACGCCGCGUGAGUUAUGAAGGUCUUCGGAUCGUAAAACUCUGUUAUGAGGUAAGAACAUAUUUGUAAGGAACUGAGCACAGCGUGACGGUACCUAGUCAGAAAGCCACGGCUAACUACGUG
rnacentral:rRNA from 1 species